rnacentral:rRNA from 1 species
UUAAGCGACUAAGCGUACACGGUGGAUGCCCUGGCAGUCAGAGGCGAUGAAGGGCGUGCUAAUCUGCGAUAAGCGCCGGUAAGGUGAUAUGAACCGUUAUAACCGGCGAUACCCGAAUGGGGAAACCCAGUGUGACUCGUCACACUAUCAUUAACUGAAUCCAUAGGUUAAUGAGGCGAACCGGGGGAACUGAAACAUCUAAGUACCCCGAGGAAAAGAAAUCAACCGAGAUUCCCCCAGUAGCGGCGAGCGAACGGGGAGGAGCCCAGAGCCUGAAUCAGCAUGUGUGUUAGUGGAAGCGUCUGGAAAGGCGCGCGAUACAGGGUGACAGCCCCGUACACAAAAGCGCAUGUGCUGUGAGCUCGAUGAGUAGGGCGGGACACGUGGUAUCCUGUCUGAAUAUGGGGGGACCAUCCUCCAAGGCUAAAUACUCCUGACUGACCGAUAGUGAACCAGUACCGUGAGGGAAAGGCGAAAAGAACCCCGGCGAGGGGAGUGAAAAAGAACCUGAAACCGUGUACGUACAAGCAGUGGGAGCCCCACCACCAAAGCAUUCUCUGGUGUUGAAGGCCCUGCAAAGCAGCAUCGCGGUGGCGGAGCGUCGUUUGCGACGCCCAACACACAAAACAAGCGGUGAAUGCUUUGGGGUGGGGUGACUGCGUACCUUUUGUAUAAUGGGUCAGCGACUUAUAUUCUGUAGCAAGGUUAACCGAAUAGGGGAGCCGGAGGGAAACCGAGUCUUAAUUGGGCGUUAAGUUGCAGGGUAUAGACCCGAAACCCGGUGAUCUAGCCAUGGGCAGGUUGAAGGUUGGGUAACACUAACUGGAGGACCGAACCGACUAAUGUUGAAAAAUUAGCGGAUGACCUGUGGCUGGGGGUGAAAGGCCAAUCAAACCGGGAGAUAGCUGGUUCUCCCCGAAAGCUAUUUAGGUAGCGCCUCGUGAAUUCAUCUCCGGGGGUAGAGCACUGUUUCGGCUAGGGGGCCAUCCCGGCUUACCAACCCGAUGCAAACUGCGAAUACCGGAGAAUGUUAUCACGGGAGACACACGGCGGGUGCUAACGUCCGUCGUGAAGAGGGAAACAACCCAGACCGCCAGCUAAGGUCCCAAAGUCAUGGUUAAGUGGGAAACGAUGUGGGAAGGCCCAGACAGCCAGGAUGUUGGCUUAGAAGCAGCCAUCAUUUAAAGAAAGCGUAAUAGCUCACUGGUCGAGUCGGCCUGCGCGGAAGAUGUAACGGGGCUAAACCAUGCACCGAAGCUGCGGCAGCGACGCUGAUGCGUUGUUGGGUAGGGGAGCGUUCUGUAAGCCUGUGAAGGUGUGUCGUGAGGCAUGCUGGAGGUAUCAGAAGUGCGAAUGCUGACAUAAGUAACGAUAAAGCGGGUGAAAAGCCCGCUCGCCGGAAGACCAAGGGUUCCUGUCCAACGUUAAUCGGGGCAGGGUGAGUCGACCCCUAAGGCGAGGCCGAAAGGCGUAGUCGAUGGGAAACGGGUUAAUAUUCCCGUACUUGGUGUUACUGCGAAGGGGGGACGGAGAAGGCUAUGUUGGCCGGGCGACGGUUGUCCCGGUUUAAGCGUGUAGGUGUGUGUUCCAGGUAAAUCCGGUUCACUUUAACACUGAGGCGUGACGACGAGGCACUACGGUGCUGAAGCAACAAAUGCCCUGCUUCCAGGAAAAGCCUCUAAGCAUCAGGUAACACGAAAUCGUACCCCAAACCGACACAGGUGGUCAGGUAGAGAAUACCAAGGCGCUUGAGAGAACUCGGGUGAAGGAACUAGGCAAAAUGGUGCCGUAACUUCGGGAGAAGGCACGCUGACACGUAGGUGAAGUGAUUUACUCAUGGAGCUGAAGUCAGUCGAAGAUACCAGCUGGCUGCAACUGUUUAUUAAAAACACAGCACUGUGCAAACACGAAAGUGGACGUAUACGGUGUGACGCCUGCCCGGUGCCGGAAGGUUAAUUGAUGGGGUCAGCGUAAGCGAAGCUCCUGAUCGAAGCCCCGGUAAACGGCGGCCGUAACUAUAACGGUCCUAAGGUAGCGAAAUUCCUUGUCGGGUAAGUUCCGACCUGCACGAAUGGCGUAAUGAUGGCCAGGCUGUCUCCACCCGAGACUCAGUGAAAUUGAACUCGCUGUGAAGAUGCAGUGUACCCGCGGCAAGACGGAAAGACCCCGUGAACCUUUACUAUAGCUUGACACUGAACAUUGAGCCUUGAUGUGUAGGAUAGGUGGGAGGCUUUGAAGUGUGGACGCCAGUCUGCAUGGAGCCGACCUUGAAAUACCACCCUUUAAUGUUUGAUGUUCUAACGUGGACCCGUAAUCCGGGUUGCGGACAGUGUCUGGUGGGUAGUUUGACUGGGGCGGUCUCCUCCUAAAGAGUAACGGAGGAGCACGAAGGUUGGCUAAUCCUGGUCGGACAUCAGGAGGUUAGUGCAAUGGCAUAAGCCAGCUUGACUGCGAGCGUGACGGCGCGAGCAGGUGCGAAAGCAGGUCAUAGUGAUCCGGUGGUUCUGAAUGGAAGGGCCAUCGCUCAACGGAUAAAAGGUACUCCGGGGAUAACAGGCUGAUACCGCCCAAGAGUUCAUAUCGACGGCGGUGUUUGGCACCUCGAUGUCGGCUCAUCACAUCCUGGGGCUGAAGUAGGUCCCAAGGGUAUGGCUGUUCGCCAUUUAAAGUGGUACGCGAGCUGGGUUUAGAACGUCGUGAGACAGUUCGGUCCCUAUCUGCCGUGGGCGCUGGAGAACUGAGGGGGGCUGCUCCUAGUACGAGAGGACCGGAGUGGACGCAUCACUGGUGUUCGGGUUGUCAUGCCAAUGGCACUGCCCGGUAGCUAAAUGCGGAAGAGAUAAGUGCUGAAAGCAUCUAAGCACGAAACUUGCCCCGAGAUGAGUUCUCCCUGAGACUUUAGGUCUCCUGAAGGAACGUUGAAGACGACGACGUUGAUAGGCCGGGUGUGUAAGCGCAGCGAUGCGUUGAGCUAACCGGUACUAAUGAACCGUGAGGCUUAACCUU